AUGAACGCUAGCGGCAGGCCUAACACAUGCACGUCGCGGGCGGAGCUUUCGGGCUUCGACCGGCGUACGGGUGCGUAACGCGUAUACAAUCUGCCUUUCACAUAGGGAUAGCCCGAAGAAAUUUGGAUUAAUACCUAAUGGUAUAUAGGAGUGGCAUCACAUUUAUAUUAAAGCUGAGGCGGUGAAAGAUGAGUAUGCGUUCUAUUAGCUAGUUGGAGAGGUAACGGCUCCCCAAGGCGACGAUAGAUAGGGGUUCUGAGAGGGAUAUCCCCCACACUGGUACUGAGAUACGGACCAGACUCCUACGGGAGGCAGCAGUGAGGAAUAUUGGACAAUGGUCGGAAGACUGAUCCAGCCAUGCCGCGUGCAGGAAGACGGCCUUAUGGGUUGUAAACUGCUUUUGCAGGGGAAGAAUAAGGACUACGAGUAGUUUGAUGACGGUACUCUGCGAAUAAGCAUCGGCUAACUCCGUG
rnacentral:rRNA from 1 species